AGCAUAUGAGACCUUCACCAGAAGGGAUCAGACUCCAGAGCCAGCCACGUGAAACUCCAGAAUGCCUCCUCCGCGGACGAUACUGCUCUUUCAAGCACACCCUUGGCACCUACAUUCCAUCAAACUCAGUCAAGGCCGGUUGUUAACUUUUUCCAUUUUGCCCUUCUCUCCGCAAAGCUAUUUCUACUCCCC
rnacentral:lncRNA from 1 species